CCACUGUGUUCUUAGACCUUCAAUGCUGCAGAUUUAUUUUUGGUACCCUUCCCCAGAUCUGUGCCUCGACACAAUCCUGUCUCGGAGCUCUACGGACAGUUCCUUCGACCUCAUGGCUUGGUUUCUGCUCUACCUGUCAACUGUGGGACCUUAUAUAGACAGGUGUGAGCCUUUCCAAAUCAUGUCCUAUCAAUUUAAUUUACCACAGGUGGACUUCAAUCAAGUUGUAGAAACAUCUCAAGGAUGAUCAAUGGAAACAGGAAGCACCUGAACUCCAUUUGGAGCCUCAUAGCAAAGGGUCUGAAUACUGAUCAGGUCUGUCACUGAUGUGAAUCAGCUUUCUGUAGAUGGAUUAAACAACUGUUUUCCUCCAUUGUAGAAUAAGGCUGUAACGUAACAGAUGGAUUAAAUAACUGUUUUCCUCCAUUGUAGAAUAAGGCUGUAACGUAACAGAUGGAUUAAAUAACUGUUUUCCUCCAUUGUAGAAUAAGGCUGUAACGUAACAGAUGGAUUAAACAACUGUUUUCCUCCAUUGUAGAAUAAGGCUGUAACGUAACAGAUGGAUUAAACAACUGUUUUCCUCCAUUGUAGAAUAAGGCUGUAACGUAACAGAUGGAUUAAAUAACUGUUUUCCUCCAUUGUAGAAUAAGGCUGUAACGUAACAAAAUGUGUAACAAGGGAAGGGGUCUGAAUCCUUUCCGAAUGCACUGUAUUUGUUAGCGUACGUGUGACCGUCUGUCUCCAGGUUGAAGUCCAUGUGUAGAGACGUGUCCUCUUCAGCUGUGGUCUACAGACCUCUGGGAACACUGAAACGCACCAGACCAGAGCAGCAAACCCACGAUGUGGACCGUGCUGAUUGGCUGUUUGAGAGGGCGGACCUGGCCCCUGUCAGGAAGAGGGUGAUGAUGCAGGAGGCCACACCCACAACGCUCACUAACCCUCCCGACGAUCCUCUUCCCUUCACACCUCUCGUCACGG
rnacentral:lncRNA from 1 species